rnacentral:lncRNA from 1 species
UUGAAUUUGGGGUUUUUGCCCUAGGAUUUUUCGGGGACAAAUUGACCCCGUAGAAACCCAAUUGGGGGUGCCCAAAACACGUUGGACAACUUCGUUUAAUAUUUCGAAAAUGUUAGAGUAUAGUUCAUGUACAAAAAGGCCUAAUAUGGCACUAUUUGAUUAUAGGGCGCGGAAUCGGCUUUCGUAAAGUGCGGGGGCCUUAAUAUUCUACACCCACACGACUCACAGAGGUGGGGGGUGCACGCCGGAAUCGUUGGAUUCCCCUCUAUGUCUAUUUCUCUAUUUUUGAGCAUAUAUAUAUAUAUAUACCCAUUCAUGCAUAGUAGGGUAGCUACAUGUGGAACUUGGUUUGACUUCAUUUUUAUGCUUCUAACGUAGUUGAACAUAGAGAAUGAUAGAACCAAAACGGACAUGUGUGAUUGGACCCUCGAGAUGUGUGAAUGUAAGAAUGGACUUGGACAUUAGAAAACAAGGGUGUCAUUGACAUAGAAACAAGAAUUGCAUUGAGAGAUGACCAUUGGAAAUAGUUUAACCCAUAGGGACAUGGUCGAAGAUAAGGUCUCGAAAGUGGCAAAAAUAAAUAGGUAGAGACCUAUCGUGAUAUUGGCAUUGUGACUAGUGGCUAUGAAUCCUCAAGUUGAGGAUUAGAUCGACACUCACCUUUCGUCUUGGCUUGAGGGAGGUCGCUCCCCCUCGAGCGGUGCGCUCCGGAGUUGGUCACCACUGGGCGUGGUAAAGUCCCACCAGUUGACGGUCCCUAGGGAGGUUCGAGUCCCCCGUUAUUAAGGGAUUUUGGGUUGUGAGUUAUUGGGGUUAACAGAGUUAACCGGUAAGAUUGGGUAAGAGCCAAAGUUUGAUUAUGAUUGGAGCAUGCAUGCAUUUCCAUUUUCGCAUUGAAAUUGUAUAUCUAUUGUCUCUUUCUUGCAGGCAUAGUAUUAGUUGCAUUAGUAAUGGUUACCUUUCUUCCUUUGAAAUACUUAUGCCUGGAUAGACCUAGUGGGUAAGUCGGCGAGGUCGGAUGCCGAGCCCACUGGGAACUUCGUUGUAGUUCUCACACCACUAACCCUACAGGUCCUAGCACGAGCGGGGCGGCGGAGGACCGAGGCAAGGGUUUGGCGCCGUAGGUAGCGGCCACCGGGGACUUUAUGCAUUUUGUAGUCAUUCCCUUUUGUUAUACAUGUAUCAACUUUAUUUUGUUGAAUUAGGUAUGUAAAGUGAAAACAAUCAUGUAUUUGGUGGAUGACUAAAUGUAAAAAGAUAUGAUGGUUGGAUGGAAUGUAAUAGUUGUACAUUAGCUUUGUUUACUUGAAUUUGGUUUAAAUGAAAUCAAAUAUCAUGUGUAAUCUAUAUUUAGCUUAGAGCUUUCGCUUCCGUUGUUGCUUGCCCUCGUGCAAGCCUCGUAUUAUAUUUGCAAUUCUCUUGUUAAUUGCCUAAUUAUAUAUAUUGUUAGAGCCUUGGGCGGACAGGGGAGGCUCUGUCCGUUCGGCGUCUGUUGACGUGACCCGAACCCGACCAAAUUGGCGGGGAUUGGGGCGUGACAGAUAUAAUGGUAUCAGAGCGAAGUUGAAAGCAAAAGUCUAGGAAUGACCUAGGAACCAUAGG